GACCAGGUGGCCGAGUGGUUAAGGCGUUGGACUGGUGCUCUGGCGUGGGUUCGAAUCCCAUCCUGGUCG